AGCAGCCGCGGUAAUUCCAGCUCCAAUAGCGUAUAUUAAAGUUGUUGCAGUUAAAAGCUCGUAGUUGAAUUUCGGGAUCAAUUUAUCGGUCGUGCCAAUGGUAUGAACUGGUACAAUUGGUUUCUCCCUUCUGACGAAGCAUGAUGCCAUUAAUUUGGUGUCGUGGGGAAUCAGGACUGUUACUUUGAAAAAUUGAGUGUUUAAAGCAAGCAUUAGCUUGAAUACAUUAGCAUGGAAUAAUGAAAUAGGACGUUUGAUCCUAUUUCGUUGGUUUCUAGGAUCGACGUAAUGAUUAAUAGGGAUAGUUGGGGGCAUUAGUAUUCAAUUGUCAGAGGUGAAAUUCUUGGAUUUAUUGAAGACUAACUACUGCGAAAGCAUUUGCCAAGGAUG
rnacentral:misc_RNA from 1 species